rnacentral:rRNA from 1 species
UACGAAGGGGGCUAGCGUUGCUCGGAAUCACUGGGCGUAAAGGGUGCGUAGGCGGGUCUUUAAGUCAGGGGUGAAAUCCCGGAGCUCAACUCCGGAACUGCCUUUGAUACUGGCGAUCUAGAGGUCGAGAGAGGUGAGUGGAAUUCCGAGUGUAGAGGUGAAAUUCGUAGAUAUUCGGAAGAACACCAGUGGCGAAGGCGGCUCACUGGCUCGAUACUGACGCUGAGGUGCGAAAGCGUGGGGAGCAAACAGG